UCAAAUAUCCAGAGUUCAAAUUAUUAGAUUUGUUUUCUUUAUAGUUGCCAUUUUUUUCAAAUCAAGAUCCAAACAAGAUCCAUGUUUUGCUCUUGGUUAUCUCCCUCACAUCCAUUUCACUUGAUGAGAUCGGAAGAGCA